AAGCAUUACUGCUGUGGCUGAAAUUCUUGGGCCAAACAUUGAGAUCUGUGCAUUUGUCAUGGGAAAGGAAAACAACGUCUUUGCCAAAAGCCCAAAGGAGCUCAGAGCUUUCAAAACAAAAGAGGAGGAAGAGUCUGUCAAUCAACCCUUUUCAGUAUAGGAAGAUGCCACACAGAAUGCCAGCAUUACAUGGAUUGUGCGCCCUGCUGUUUCCAGACACCCCAGCAGAGAACUAUACUUUCACUCUAUCUCAGGACCAGCACAGAGGGAGGAGGCUCUGCAGGCUGCGAGAAAGAUAAGGUGAGUCAGAGACUGAAGAAUAAGUCAUAAAAGAAAAACAUGUAAAGAUACAGGGAAAUCGAUAAAAUUAAUAUUAUUAUUAUUAUUAUUUUUUUGAGACGGAGUCUCACUCUGUUGCCCAGGCUGGAGUGCGGUGGCCGGAUCUCAGCUCACUGCAAGCUCCGCCUCCCGGGUUUACGCCGUUCUCCUGCCUCAGCCUCCCAAGUAGCGGGGACUACAGGCGCCGCCACCUCGCCCAGCUAGUUUUUUUGUAUUUUUUAGUACAGACGGGGUUUCACCGUGUUAGCCAGGAUGGUCUCGAUCUCCUAACCUCGUGAUCCGCCCGUCUCGGCCUCCCAAAGUGCUGGGAUUACAGGCUUGAGCCACCGCACCCAGCCAAAUUAAUAUUAUUUAAAUAUAUAUGACUCCUUUUUAGAUACCAUUUAUUGAGAAUUCACUCAAUAGCACAACGCUAUAACAAUGACUCCUAUCUCAAUUAAUUUUCACAAUAUCCC
rnacentral:lncRNA from 10 species